CUUCUCACCCAAUCAAUUGAACCCAAAAUUCCUCACUCAAUCAAUUUAAACCUAAAAUCCUUCAUCAUUGUUCACUCACCCUCACUCACUCUCCAUUAUUUUCCUGAUCAAUUGAACCCAAAAACUGUCACAGUUGUCUUUCGUCGUCACGCAACCUCAAUCACGAACUCGUUGAAACCCUAAACCCCAAAAUCUUAGAACUUGUUGAAACCAUAAUUCAUAACCCAGAACUCGUUGAAACCCUAAAACCCUCUUCCCCCAUCAUUCACCAUCGUCCAUCGUUCCAGAACUUGUUGAACCCAGAAAAUCUUCAUCAUUCUCCAUCAUUCAUUUCAAUUGAACCUCGUCUCAUCAGAACGUCUUUAGAUUUUGAACAUCUCUGUCAAAUACUACAAGUGUUAUGCAGCAGUUUCAUCUGCCAGUGUGAAAGUUAAGUUGAACCCAUCUCAUGGAAAAAAGGAGAUUUAGCUGCAGCGAAGAACUGCCUCAAUCUUCUAUUAAACAAGGUUGUUAUCUUUGAGAAAAGAAGCGAAAUAGGAAGAGAGAAGGGCUACAGAGAAAAUCAAACAAAAGUUGGAUGAACAGAAGGCUGAAAUCAGUGCAUUUAAGGAGAAAGUUUCACAAAUUGAUGUCUUGAAGAAUAAAAUUGAAUACAAAUGCAAAAUGCUACUGAAAACUAGGUAAAAUUUCAUUCUUGUUCAUCACAAACUUAAUCAGAAUAAUAAUUAUAAUAUUUACGGUUGGUCCAAUUGGUCCAAAUGUUUUAUGUUCACAUUUCAAUUGUAAAGCAUGAUUUUGCAAAAGAUUUAGUUCAAUUUGUCAAUCCUUUUUGUUUCUAUCUAAUUUGAGUACACUACAUGAUGUGAACAUAGAGGAAGAGAAUAGCGUGCAACUCUUUAUCAUUUGGAAGUUGCCUUGGUGAUUUAGAUAUUAGAAUUGGAGAAUAACCCAGGUAAAUGCAAUACUCUGGUUGUGUUCAUCCCAAGUACUCUACCAAUUAUCCAAUAAUUAAGUGUUGUCUCACAUUUCUAAUAUGAUUUUUUAUAGUUGUGAAUUUGUAUGUGUGUGGAAUAAGGAAUACCUUUGUAAUGUUAUUUUAUGCAUUUAAAUUAGAUACAAUAUCAGACCAAAUUAUGGAGCAAUAUUGAUUGUUGUGUGCUUGGGUUGGAUUUUCCAUACUAGAGUUGUUGGGUGCAUCUGAGGUUAAAUAUGACAUGUAUUGGCAUCUACAUUGGUAUAUUUUGGCAUUUGCAUGGUGUUACUUCUCUAUGCAGGUUGCAAUUUGGA